rnacentral:rRNA from 1 species
GAUGAACGCUGGCGGCGUGCCUAAUACAUGCAAGUCGAGCGAAUGGAUUAAGAGCUUGCUCUUAUGAGGUUAGCGGCGGACGGGUGAGUAACACGUGGGUAACCUGCCCAUAAGACUGGGAUAACUCCGGGAAACCGGGGCUAAUACCGGAUAACAUUUUGAACCGCAUGGUUCGAAAUUGAAAGGCGGCUUCGGCUGUCACUUAUGGAUGGACCCGCGUCGCAUUAGCUAGUUGGUGAGGUAGCGGCUCACCAAGGCAACGAUGCGUAGCCGACCUGAGAGGGUGAUCGGCCACACUGGGACUGAGACACGGCCCAGACUCCUACGGGAGGCAGCAGUAGGGAAUCUUCCGCAAUGGACGAAAGUCUGACGGAGCAACGCCGCGUGAGUGAUGAAGGCUUUCGGGUCGUAAAACUCUGUUGUUAGGGAAGAACAAGUGCUAGUUGAAUAAGCUGGCACCUUGACGGUACCUAACCAGAAAGCCACGGCUAACUACGUGCCAGCCGCCGCGGUAA